rnacentral:tRNA from 2 species
GCCUGGAUAGCUCAGUCAGUAGAGCAUCAGACUUUUAAUCUGAGGGCCCAAGGUUCAUGCCCCUGUUCAGGCA